rnacentral:rRNA from 1 species
UACAGAGGUGCCAAGCGUUAGGCGGAAUCACUGGGCUUAAAGCGUGUGUAGGUGGACGGGUAAGUAUCUUGUGAAAUCCCACGGCUCAACCGUGGAACUGCUGGAUAUACUGCUUGUCUUGAGGCACUUAGGGGCAGCUGGAACAAAUGGUGGAGCGGUGAAAUGCGUAGAUAUCAUUUGGAACGCCAAAGGCGAAAGCAGGCUGCUGGGAGUGAUCUGACACUGAGACGCGAAAGCCAGGGGAGCAAACGGG